GGGCUGAGGUUGGACUAGAUGAUCUUGAGGUCUCUUCCAACCUAGACGAUUCUGUGAUUCUGUGAAAAGAAAAAAAAAAAAAAGCCAAAGGUGAACAGCUUUAGUUUGUUUGUUUAAUUGUCAUGAGAUCUCAGGCUCCAUCUAGAAAACAAGCAAGACUCAGAAAGCAAACUAAAAGCUUUACAUUUUUUGUGGUAUGUUUAAGUAGCCUGGCCCAUAUUAUACACCCUUUCAUAUCCAUAAAACCCAGUUAAAGUCAAGAAAAACCAAUUAUAAUGCUGCAUAUCUGCAUGUGACUUCAGGUACUCACUGUAAGAAGAACACAGCAACCAUUGUGGACCAGGUUAACACUUGAAAGACUGAUCAGAAGGAACACAGCCUGUGAAUAACCCGUGUCUCAAAAACAACAGGAAGUUCAGGAAGUUUUCGCCUUUACUAGGGCUGAGGAUUAUUUUUUUCUUGGCUUUUUUUCCCAACCUUCUCAUCACUAGCAGAACAAGGAGGAUAUUCAAUUCACUGGCUGAAUGCAGACUUUAAGGCUCUCCUUAUUGAAGGCUGAACAAGUCUUUCAAAUACAUCCUGGCUGGCCAAACACCGACUCGUACAUCCUAGAAUUAUCCACUAAUAAUAAGUCAUGUGGCGCAGGACGGUUUGAAGUCAAAUUGUGGACAGUACCACAGUACUGUAUAUCAUGUUAAUCUUUCUCAGCUCUUUAGGUCGAAAUUUCAAAAUACAUGUAAAAGGCAUGGUAAUAUGCAAGGCUUCAUAUUGCAUUCCUAUUUUUUCUGUUUCCUGUAUAGUCUUUCACAUAGCACUUAAUCUUGUCCUGUCUCAGUUUUCCAGUCUGAAACCAAAUACAUAAUACAAUUUCACUUCCCAGGACCAUUAUAGGAACGUACUAACUGUUGGUUAAACACGUUAAGAACUUUUUCAAAAGCAUCUAGGGGACUCAAAUAGCCAAAAUCAGCAACAGACUCACAUGUAAGUACAACAUAUCAUUUUUAACCACUUUUUUUUUCCUAUGUGGAGAUGCUGGAGACCAAGUUGUAUCACUACAACUUGCUGCUGAUUUUCAAGUAUGUGUCAGGAACUAAGACCUGCAAAAUCCAUUAAAAUUCAGAACGCCUGUGCUCCUUGACCCCAUUUAUGCCAUUUAAAAGGUUUCUGCUUGUGACUAGUAGCCCUUGCUCCUGACACCUGGUGAUACGGUUAGCAUAACUAAUGCCACUUUGUGAAGUAAGAAGACAUUACCCCUAAGCAAACUCAUAGGUUACCAGCCCACUUUUCCCCCUCCCCACCAGCCCUGAAGGUCCCAGGCAACAGGCCAACUCUUCCCCUCCCUACCAGUGGUGUGAAAAUCCCAAACUCACAUCCAACCACGCUGUGGUGACCUCCUCAAAGAACAGGGAAGUGUAACAGCCCACGGAGUGUGCCUAUAAAACCAAGCAGCAGCAAGCCCUAGGUGAGACAUGGAUGGGACCCGCUGCUGGACGGCAGGCCUGCGAUCCCCUGGUGCUCAGGGACACCUCCACUGUCAGCUGCAUCCUCCACAGACCAAGCGACUCACGUUCCUUCACAUCGAUUCUGAGUCUAGAUUAUGAUUAUUAGAUUGCACGUUAAGUGUUGAAAUCUGACCCAAUCUGCAGAGGGUACAGAUGAUUCAAACAAAUGCUAAAUAACCAUAAGCUGUGCUAAUUAUAAAUUUCCAUGUAAUAACAAAGGUCUAAAUAUAAACACAACCUUGUGGCAUCCUCAUUCUACCAAGGAUCACUAGUGAACCUGUCUGUCCCCAUAACGUUGGGUAACAUUCCUAUUCCACGUAUUAGCCACAAGCUUUGAUGACAAUCAUAACAUGUAAGUUAGAAGUACACACUUCUAAAGCUAGGUUAACAGUAGGACAGAAAACUCUGACAAAAUUACACACAGAAGCAUCAUUUAAUUGAAACACUGAGUUUUGUAGUUAUUAGUCAAUCACUUGCAGUGUGCACUCUGGCAAGCAAUGGGUGGUAGCCAAUUUUCCCUUAUGAAUCCAUGUAUCUACUUCUGUUCCAUACAAGUUUUCACCCUUUUCUAUACGUAACUCCUAUUGACAAAGUCAAACUAUCUGACUUCUCCAAAUCUCCACUUUACAGAUAGGAACUUGUAAAACAGAGACAAAGAUUUUGUACUAUAAAUGCUGGCAUUCUUCUAAUACACUCAAAACUCCCUUAAGAAAAGAGAUAAAAUGAGGCGUCAUUAGCCAUUAAUUUAUUUUCAUAUGCCUACUCAAAAGGCAUCAAACAAUAAUGUUACUGAAAGGAUCCCCUUCGCCAUAAUGAACUCAGAUUCAUACAAUGUCACUUAACCCAUGUCUUUUUAAAAUCAGAUAUGGUACUAAUAUGCAAUAUAAUAACAUGCCUGACUACUUAUAAUGCCCGCAAAUCCUAUUCUCAUGUGUGUUUUCUACUGACACCAUGCAAUCAAUUAUAUAAUUUAUAUAUACAUAUGUAUCUUUUUCUGCUUUUUAAUAAAAUUGAUAUAUCAGAGAAUAUUUCA
rnacentral:lncRNA from 1 species